rnacentral:tRNA from 1 species
GACCCCGUAGCACAACGGAUAGUGCGGCAGCCUUCUAAGCUGUUGAUGGUUGUUCAAUUCAACCCGGGGUCA